AGCUGAAUCUUUUUUUUCUGAGAGCAUGAUCCCAUGCUGGUUGGCUAUCUCAAAGAAUUGAUGCAACAAUUUUUUAUGAGAGGCAAUAUCUUUUGAGAAAAGGAGGAUGUCAUCU
rnacentral:pre_miRNA from 1 species